CGGGCCUGGCUUGAGUGGGGGGUGAGGGAUUGGAGAGAAAGGCAGUUCCUGAUGGUCCCCUCCCAGGGGCUGGCUUUCCUCUGGUCCUUCUCUCCCAAUGACUGCGUCUUCAUCG
rnacentral:pre_miRNA from 7 species